rnacentral:SRP_RNA from 1 species
GCCGGGCGUGGUGGUGUGUGCCUGUAGUCCUACCUACUUGGAAGGCUGAGGUGGGAGGAUCACUUGAGCCUAGGAGUUCAAGACUGCAAUGAGCUAUAAUCAUGCCACUGCACUCCGGCCUGGGCAACAGAGUGAGAGCCUGUCUCUA